GACGAACGCUGGCGGCGUGCCUAAUACAUGCAAGUCGAGCGGACCGAACGAGGGCUUGCUCUUGCUUGGUCAGCGGCGGACGGGUGAGUAACACGUGGGCAACCUGCCCGCAAGACCGGGAUCACUCCGGGAAACCGGAGCUAAUACCGGAUAACACCGAAGACCGCAUGGUCUUCGGUUGAAAGGCGGCCUUUGGGCUGUCACUUGCCGAUGUGCCCGCGGCGCAUUAGCUAGUUGGGGAGGUAACGGCUCACCAAGGCGACGAUGCGUAGCCGGCCUGAGAGGGUGACCGGCCACACUGGGACUGAGACACGGCUCAGACUCCUACGGGAGGCAGCAGUAGGGAAUCUUCCGCAAUGGGCGAAAGCCUGACGGAGCGACGCCGCGUGAGCGAAGAAGGCCUUCGGGUCGUAAAGCUCUGUUGUGAGGGACGAAGGAGCGCCGUUCGAAGAGGGCGGCGCGGUGACGGUACCUCACGAGAAAGCCCCGGCUAACUACGUGCCAGCCGCCGCGGUAA
rnacentral:rRNA from 1 species